rnacentral:rRNA from 1 species
UGCCAGCCGCCGCGGUAAUACGGAGGAUCCAAGCGUUAUCCGGAAUUAUUGGGUUUAAAGGGUCCGCAGGCUGUUUGUUAAGUCAGGGGUGAAAUCCUACCGCUCAACGGUAGAACUGCCUUUGAUACUGGCAAACUUGAGUUAUUGUGAAGUAGUUAGAAUGUGUAGUGUAGCGGUGAAAUGCAUAGAUAUUACACAGAAUACCAAUUGCGAAGGCAGAUUACUAACAAUUAACUGACGCUGAGGGACGAAAGCGUGGGUAGCGAACAGGAUUAGAUA